CACCACUACUAUGCAACAUCAAAUUAAGUUGUCUGAUGAUAAACCAGUAGCUCAGCCUUAUAGACGUAUACCACCAAGUCAGUACGAAGAAGUUAAAACGCAUAUCAAAGACCUUUUGGCAAAAAAAAUAUCAUAAAAGAAAGUAUAAGUCCGUAUGCAGCCCCAAUUGUUGUCGCAAGGAAAAAAGACCAGUCUAUACGCCUAUGCGUUGAUUACCGGAAGUUGAACCUUAAGACAGUCCGUGACGCAUUUCCGCUACCACGGAUAGAUGAGACUUUGGAUGCACUUCAUGGAGCAAAAUAUUUUAGUACUUUGGACCUUGCUAGUGGUUUUCACCAGAUUGCAAUGCACCCCGAUGACCAACAGAAAACUGCUUUCAGUACACCAUUUGGGUUAUUUGAAUAUACUAGAAUGCCAUUCGGAUUGUGCAACAGUCCAGCCACAUUUCAACGGUUGAUGCAGCACAUUUUUAAUGAUUCCGUCUUCCAAAUUUUGCUCAUAUACCUAGAUGAUUUGAUCAUUUACUCUUCAACGAUAGAAGAACAUUUGACAAGAUUAGAUAAAGUGCUAACGAAACUAAGAGAACAUAAUUUGAAACUUAAAGGAAAGAAAUGUCAUUUUUUCAGAGAGCAAGUGAAAUAUCUGGGUUACAUUAUAUCUUCAGAUGGCAUCGCAACCGAUCCAGACAAAGUGGAUGUUGUAAAGAAAUGGCCGAAACCAGAGACUGUAAAGGACUUGCGCUCUUUUCUUGGAUUUGCGAGUUAUUAUCGUAGAUUUGUUCCAAAGUUUGCACACGUAGCUAGACCUUUAUAUCAUCUUAUCAGUGUUUGUAACAAGGAAAAGACAAAACAGAAGUCAAACAAACAAAUGCAACUUUCAUGGACAGAGGAAUGCUCCGACGCAUUUACACAUCUAAAAGAGAAGCUGACGACUUCACCUAUAUUAGGGUAUGCAGAUUAUAAAUCUGAAUUCAUUUUAGAAACUGAUGCUAGUUUCAGAGGACUUGGAGCAGUUUUAAUGCAAAAACAAGGGAAAGAUCUCCGUGUUAUAGCCUAUGCAAGCCGCACACUUAGGCCUAGUGAACGAAAUGAUGCCAAUUAUAGUUCUGCUAAACUUGAACUAUUAGCCGUCAAAUGGGCAGUAACUGAAAAAUUAAAAGACUACUUACUUGGUUCAAAGUUUGAAAUUAUAACAGACAACAAUCCUCUGUCACAUUUACAGACUAGCGGAAAACUAGCAGCAGUGGAACAACGAUGGGCAGCUCAAUUAGCUCAGUUCAACUUUACAAUUUCAUACCGUUCUGGAAAAUUAAAUGGCGCUGCUGAUGCUUUAUCACGAUUACCCAGUUACACGACAGAUGUACCGACCGAUUUACGUGUUAUAGCAUAUCAGAGAACCGUAGAAUCAAUCGAAUAUGAAGUUGAGAAAAAACAUGAACAGCCUGACAAGGAUGGAAUAUUACAAGCGUUAUGUAAUGAAGUUAGUGCAUUACCUAGAUAUAGUAACAUUGACAUGAAACUAAUGCAAAAUAGUGACAAUACGAUUAAACAGUUUUUGAUAUACUUUAAUGAACAAAGAAAACCGUCAUCAAGUGAGCGAAUGAAAGAGUCACCUAAAGUAAUAUCUAUGUUACGUCAAAAGGACAGAAUGUUUCUCAAAAACGGGAUUCUAUAUAGAAAGGUAACUGAUCCACAACAAGGUGAAACACAUCAAUUCGUUGUACCAGAGGCUUUACAAAAGCAAGUGUUAGAAAUGUUACAUGAACAAGCAGGUCAUCAAGGAAUAGAAAGGACAACAAGCUUGAUUCGUUCAAGGUGUUACUGGACAGGAAUGUUCAAAGAUAUCGACAAUUACUGCAAGGCAUGCGAACGUUGUAAUGUUGCAAAGAUGCCAUGUCCGCGCAUAUCAGUUCCAAUGAGUCACUUGUUAGCAAGCAAACCAAAUGAAAUCCUAGCUAUAGAUUUUACUAUUCUAGAACCAGCAAGUGAUGGUAGAGAAAAUGUAUUAGUAAUAACAGAUGUAUUUUCGAAAUUUACAGCAGCGAUUCCGACACGAAAUCAAACUGCAGCAUCUACCGCCAAAGUACUAGUUUCAUCAUGGUUCAUGCGUUAUGGAAUACCUGAACGUAUCCAUUCGGAUCAGGGGAGGAACUUCGAAUCUGAACUUAUUAGUGAGCUUUGCAAUAUUUACAACAUCAAAAAGAGCAGAACUACUCCUUAUCACCCACAAGGUAAUGGUCAAUGUGAAAGGUUUAAUCGGACUUUACAUGACCUACUUCGAACACUAACACCAAAACAGAAACAACAAUGGCCAAACUUUCUUCCAGAAUUAAUCUUUACAUACAACUCAACAGUUCAUGCGUCUACAGGGUUUUCUCCGUUUUAUCUUAUGAUGGGUAGACAGCCUAGACUACCUGUUGACUCUCUUUUUGACUUUGAAGAUGAUGAAAAUAUUAGUGACAAUAGACAUGAGUAUGUCUCUGAACAUCUUAAUAAAAUGAAGAUUGCGUAUGAAAAAGCAGGGGAGCACUUAAGGAAAGAAGCUGUUUUACGAGAG
rnacentral:lncRNA from 1 species